CACGUGGGUAACCUGCCCAAGAGAUCGGGAUAACACCUGGAAACAGAUGCUAAUACCGGAUAACAACAGAUGAUGCCUAUCAACUGUUUAAAAGAUGGUUCUACUAUCACUCUUGGAUGGACCUGCGGUGCAUUAGCUAGUUGGUAGGGUAACGGCCUACCAAGGCGAUGAUGCAUAGCCGAGUUGAGAGACUGAUCGGCCACAUUGGGACUGAGACACGGCCCAAACUCCUACGGGAGGCAGCAGGG
rnacentral:rRNA from 1 species